UACGGAAGGGGCAAGCGUUGUUCGGAAUCAUUGGGCGUAAAGGGCGCGUAGGCGGUCGUGACAAGUCACUUGUGAAAUCUCCGGGCUUAACUCGGAACGGUCAAGUGAUACUGUCGGACUAGAGUACAGAAGGGGCAACUGGAAAUUCUCGGUGUAGCGGUGAAAUGCGUAGAUAUCGAGAGGAACACCUGCGGCGAAGGCGGGUUGCUGGGCUGACACUGACGCUGAAGCGCGAAAGCUAGGGGAGCGAACGGG
rnacentral:rRNA from 1 species